GGGGAACAGAAAGGCCAGGCGAAAUGCCUGGACAUCACAAACCCUGUCCUUCAGUGGGGGGGGGAGGGUGGGCAAAUUGCUGGACACUGCAAACCCUUUCUCUCAGAGCGGGGGGGGGGGGGGGGCUAGGUGACCUGCUGGACAUCGCAAACCCUGUCACUUGGCAGGGGGGCGACAGGCUGGACACUUCAAACCCUGUCUCUCGGGGGGGGGGUGCUGGGCGACCUGCUGGACAUCGCAAACCCUGUCACUUGGUGGGGACGACUGGCUGGACACUACAAACCCUGUCAUUCAGUUGGGGGACGAGGGUAGGGCAACUGCUGGACAUUGCAAACCCUGUCACUUGGCGGGGGGGGUGGCGACAGGCUGGACACUGCAAACCCUGUCUUUCAGGGCGGGGGGCUGGGCGACCUGCUGGACAUCGCAAACCCUGUCACUUGGGGGGGGCGACUGGCUGGACACUACAAACCCUGUCAUUCAGUGGGGGGGCGAGGGUGGGGCAACUGCUGGACACUGCAAACCCUGUCACUCAGCGAGGAGGGCGGGGGCAGGAAGGGCAGGGUGAAUGGCUGGACAUCACAAACGCUGUCUCUCAGAACGGGGCGGGGGGGCUAGGUGACCUGCUAGACAUCACAAAUCCUGUCUCUCAGAGUGGGGCGGGGGGGCUAGGUGACCUGCUGGACAUCGCAAACCCUGUCUCUCGGGGGGGCGGGGGGGCUGGGUUACCAGCUGGACAUCACAAACCCUGUCACGUGAGCACAGGGCCUGAGUCUCUCUUGGGUUGGGACCAUCUUUCUGAGGAGGCACUGUGACAAGCCAGGGGUGGGGUGGAAGAUGUGUCAGCGAGGGUCACCAGAGGCCCAGGAGGGGCCACAGCCUCCCUCACUGCCCAGGGCACGGGGCACCCCCACCCCAGGCAGCUGAGCCUGCUGCCCGCAGGGACCACACCAGGACACGGGGACGUUCACUCCUCCUCCCGGCCUCAUUUCCCCAGGUCAGCAGGAGGCAGGCAAUGAGGGUGAUCUCUGGGCUGCCCGUGACCCCACACCUCACAGGGCAGGCAGGCAGUGCUGAUGCCACGGCCCCUGGGACGGGCCACCUCGACCCGGAGGGUCAGCUCCUCUGGCCACGGGCCAGGGAGGGAAGUUGGAUACCAGGGAUGCAGUGUUCCUGAUCAAAGCUCCAGAGAGAAGCAAUGGCUGUAAGAGCAUGUGUGUGCACACAUGUGUGCAUGGGAGCAUCUGCUUUUGCAAGUGUGUGCACACGUGUGUGCAUGCACUAUAUGUUUAUGUUUGUGCAAGUGUUCACCCAAGUAUGCUUGUGUCUGCGUGCUUGUAUGUGCAUGUUUGUGCAGUGUACUGUGUACAUGUGUGCAGGUGCACAUGUAGUGUGCACCUACCUGUGUGCAUGUGUAUGUGCACAUGGGUGCAUCUUUGCUCUGUGUUCUUCAAUGCAUGUAGUAUGCACACGUCAUUUUGUGGGCAUGUGUGUUGUGCUAUGUGCAUGUGUGCACAGGUGUUAACUGUGUGGGGGAUGCACGUGUUUCAUUAUACCAUGUGUGUACGUAUAUGCAUGCACAUAUUAUGAAUUGUGUGUUUUGCUACAUGUAUGUGUGUCUGUGUGGGAUGCGCAUGUUGCAUUGUGUGUACUGUAUAUGUAUAUUAACAUAUUGCAUGUUGUGUUAUAUGUACAUUUCUAUGUACAUGUGUGCAUGUGCCUGGGUGCAUGUGUCUGCGUGUGUGUUGUGUUACAUGUAUUGUACACACAUGUGUCCAUGUGGGUGUACAUGAUGUGUGUAGUGUGUUGUGCUGU
rnacentral:lncRNA from 1 species